GUCGAAAGGCGGGCUAACAUCAGAUGAUAUAUAAUCACGACAUCGUGGAAAUAUCAAAUCUUCGGAGCCUUGGGAUGAGCCUGCGUCUGAUUAGGUAGUUGGCGGAGUAAUAGCCCACCAAGCCUACGAUCAGUAGCUGGUCUGAGAGGAUGAUCAGCCACACUGGAACUGAGACACGGUCCAGACUCCUACGGGAGGCAGCAGUAAGGAAUAUUGCUCAAUGGGGGAAACCCUGAAGCAGCAACGCCGCGUGAAGGAUGAAAAUACUUUUGUAUGUAAACUUCUGUAAGAUGGGAAAAAUAUUCUCCUCGGGAGAAUUGAUUGUACCAUCAGAGUAAGCCCCGGCUAACUACGUG
rnacentral:rRNA from 1 species